rnacentral:rRNA from 1 species
AUCAACCGAGAUUCCCCCAGUAGCGGCGAGCGAACGGGGAGCAGCCCGGAGUCUGAAUCAGCUUGUGUGUUAGUGGAACGGUCUGGAAAGUCCGACGGUACAGGGUGAUAGUCCCGUACACGAAAAUGCACAGGUUGUGAACUCGAAGAGUAGGGCGGGACACGUGGUAUCCUGUCUGAAUAUGGGGGGACCAUCCUCCAAGGCUAAAUACUCCUGACUGACCGAUAGUGAACCAGUACCGUGAGGGAAAGGCGAAAAGAA